rnacentral:rRNA from 1 species
AUCCUACGGGGGGCAGCAGUCGGGAAUAUUGCGCAAUGGAGGAAACUCUGACGCAGUGACGCCGCGUAUAGGAAGAAGGUCUUCGGAUUGUAAACUAUUGUCGUUAGGGAAGAGAAAGGACAGUACCUAAGGAGGAAGCUCCGGCUAACUACGUGCCAGCAGCCGCGGUAAUACGUAGGGAGCGAGCGUUAUCCGGAUUUAUUGGGUGUAAAGGGUGCGUAGACGGGAAAAUAAGUUAGUUGUGAAAUCCCUCGGCUUAACUGAGGAACUGCAACUAAAACUGAUUUUCUUGAGUGUUGAAGAGG